GAAAUGCGAUAACUAAUGUGAAUUGCAGAAUUCAGUGAAUCAUCGAGUCUUUGAACGCACAUUGCGCCCCCUGGUAUUCCGGGGGGGCAUGCCUGUCCGAGCGUCAUUGCUGCCCUCAAGCCCGGCUUGUGUGUUGGGCCCUCGUCCCCCGGCUCCCGGGGGACGGGCCCGAAAGGCAGCGGCGGCACCGCGUCCGGUCCUCGAGCGUAUGGGGCUUCGUCUUCCGCUCCGUAGGCCCGGCCGGCGCCCGCCGACGCAUUUAUUUGCAACUUGUUUUUUUCCAGGUUGACCUCGGAUCAGGUAGGGAUACCCGCUGAACUUAAGC
rnacentral:misc_RNA from 1 species